rnacentral:rRNA from 1 species
UUAGGAAUUUUGGGCAAUGGGGGAAACCCUGACCCAGCAACGCCGCGUGGGUGAUGAAGGCCUUCGGGUUGUAAAGCCCUUUUCCGGGGGAAGAUAGUGACGGUACCCCGGGAAUAAGCCCCGGCUAACUACGUGCCAGCAGCCGCGGUAAUACGUAGGGGGCAAGCGUUGUCCGGAUUUAUUGGGCGUAAAGGGCUCGCAGGCGGCUGGCCAAGUCGUGCGUGAAAUCUCUCGGCUUAACCGGGAGCGGUCGUGCGAGACUGGCCGGCUCGAGGCCGGUAGGGGGAAGCGGAAUUCCGGGUGUAGUGGUGGAAUGCGUAGAUAUCCGGAGGAACACCAGUGGCGAAGGCGGCUUCCUGGACCGGUCCUGACGCUCAGGAGCGAAAGCGUGGGUAGCGAUCCGG